GUGAGUUAUAUUUCUUAACGUGGCCUGUAGAGGGGGAAACUAGUCGAAAGAUUAGUUAAUACCGCAUACGACCUGAGGGUGAAAGUGGGGGACCGCAAGGCCUCAUGCUAUAGGAGCGGCCGAUGUCUGAUUAGCUAGGUGGUGGGGUAAAGGCCUACCAAGGCGACGAUCAGUAGCUGGACUGAGAGGACGAUCAGCCACACUGGGACUGAGACACGGCCCAGACUCCUACGGGAGGCAGCAGUGGGGAAUUUUGGACGAUGCGCGAAAGCCUGAUCCAGCAAUGCCGCGUGUGUGAAGAAGGCCUUCGGGUUGUAAAGCACUUUUGUCCGGAAAGAAAUGGCUCUGGUUAAUACCUUCGGUUGAUGACGGUACCGGAAGAAUAAGGACCGGCUAACUACGUGCCAGCAGCCGCGGUAAUACGUAGUUUUCCAAGCGUUAAUCGGAAUUACUGGGCGUAAAGCGUGCGCAGGGGGUUGUGCAAGACCGAUGUGAAAUCCACGAGCUUAACUUGGGAAUUGCGUUGGUGACUGCACGGCUAGAGUGUGUCAGAGGGGGGUAGAAUUCCACGUGUAGCAGUGAAAUGCGUAGAGGUGUGGAGUAAUACCGAUGCUAAGCCAGCUCCCUGCGAAACUUUGACGCUCAUGCACGAAAGCGUGCGGAGCGACAGCAUUAGAUACC
rnacentral:rRNA from 1 species